CUUCUACGUAGGAAAACAUUCCAUUUGGAAACCUACAACUGUGCUGUCAAUAACUGUCCUCAGGAGGAAACCUUGCAACAUCUCUUUUGGACCUGCCCUUUUGCCUCCUAGUGCUGGGACCUAUUAUGCCCUACAAGACAAGCUAAUGUUUCUGUGCUUGAAGCUUUUGAUGAUCUCAGACAAAAAUUACAUGUACCUUUCUUCAUGGAAAUCAUCAUCCUAGCUUCCUGGGCUAUUUGGAUCUCAAGAAAUAAUCUCAUCUUUCAAGCAAUUCAACCUUCAGUUCAGAGGUGGAAAGCAAUCUUCCUUGAAGAGCUUAACUUGCUCAGAUUCAGGAUUAAAAAGAGUUAUGCAAGGGCUUUCUGUGAUUGGCUUGACAAUCUUGUUCUGUAA
rnacentral:rRNA from 1 species